UAAGACUUCUAACAGCCUUUCGUUCACGACGCGUAUUGCCUCAGCCUCUUACCACCGCCUAUAAGCCUUUACGACAAGAACAUGAUGAAAUCUGUCGGUCUUUUCCUUCUUCUCAUAGCAGCCUUUGCCUACUCCGGUGUUGAAGGAGCAAAUCCGUGCGCAACGGCCCUCAAAGCCGCAUGGUUGGAUUAUACAAUAGCUAGUGGAACACUUCGAUUCCCUAAUUCUGCCACCUCCGCCUGCGGAGCAGAUCCAGCGGGACAUGCAGCCAUUGAUGCCCUCAGAGGUGACUGCCAGAGCUAUAACUUCAGUGUAGGCGAUCUCAAGUGCGAUGUUGUCGCAGCUCCCUACAUGAAAUGUGUUGCGGGAAAACUUGGAUACUUGAACGACGAUGGCUCCAUCAACACCAAGAAGAUCUUCGCCCAGUACAAGGCUGACGCCACCAGUGGCCGCAAGUGCAGCUUUCGUCAGUACGACUUCGCUGUGGCAAAAUGUGGCACCAACAUCGACAACUACGCGUUCCUAAAGAAAGUCCAAUGCAUCAUCACGGCGACUGACAAGUUCACGGCCGGCUGACCUGCGCAAUCUGGCCCUCAUUUCUUCAUCUGAUUGGCGGCUUUGAAGUGUUCACUACAUUACAUACAAGGUCUGAAACAACAGGUGGUCUGACAACAUACAAGGUCUGAACAACAUACAAGGGGAACAACAUACAAGGUCUGAAACAACAGGUGCACAAUAAUAAUUAGGGGACCUCUUUCUCCAGGCAAUGCAUCCACGUACAGUAAAAAAUUUUUAGUUGGAAGUUCAUGUAAGUUGUAAAACAUUAA